rnacentral:sRNA from 12 species
UGCUUUACAAGUAUGUUGUAAAGGAAUGGUAUUGUUGUCAACAGUUCUAACAAACAUUUAUAAGAAAUGGUUUG